GCUGGCUGCUCCCGCUCGCCUCUUGGGGUGCGCUCGGCUCCAGCCCAACUCCGCCAGCUCCGCCAGCUUCGCCGGCUCCAGCACCGCUCCAGCCCGAUUCCAGCCCUAUUCCAGCCCGGUUCCAGCCCGGUUCCAGCCCAGCUCCGUCCCGGCUCCGGUUCUUCUCCGCCACGCCUCUCUGUCGACGCUGAGGAGCAGCUUCGCAGGAAAAUCCCAGAAACCUUUGCAAAAAGCUUACAAUGAAAUUUAAGAAGUUCUACGAUUUCGGCGCCAUUUUCGAGUGGAGUGAGAGUAUUGGAAAAGUUUGGCUGGAAGGUGACCAUCGAUGGUUUUUUCCUCCACAAUUCCGUGUCCAUGUAAAAAUGACUUGUAAUAUAGCCAAGACGGAAUUUUCAUUCCAACUUAAGGAGUGGGGCUGUUAUUAUUAAUGGCUUUAUUUAUCAUGACCUAAGCAAUGCAUUUGUUAGCACUGGAUCAUUAUCUGUUAUGUUAGGAAUUUUGUAUUUAGUUUAAUUACAUACUCUGUAUAUUUUAUUAAUUAAUUAAUAGGACCCAGCAUUCAUUGUACUAGUUUCGAAAAACUGACAUAAUUUUAAAUGAAAAUACAGGAAAUUUGUAUACAGAACGUUUUUUGCUUUCAAAGGCACUGUAGUUUUGCUGUUUUAGUUAUUAGGUUUGUGGUUAAGGACUAAAGGAUGGUUUUGUGCUUUCCUGAAUGCUUUGUUUAAACAAGGAAAUGAAUGUAACUUGUUGC
ensembl:processed_transcript RIKEN cDNA C430049B03 gene